rnacentral:rRNA from 1 species
AGAGUUUGAUCCUGGCUCAGGAUAAACGCUGGCGGCACGCCUAAUACAUGCAAGUCGAACGAGAGUGCUUGCACUCUAGUGGCGAACGGGUGAGGAACACGUAAGGAACUUGCCCCAAAGACGAGGAUAACCACGGGAAACUGUGGCUAAUACUGGAUAGGAUAUAGAUUCCCAUGAACCUAUAUUUAAAGGUGCGUUUGCUCCACUUCUGGGAGAGCCUUGCUCAGCAUUAGCUAGUUGGUAGGGUAACGGCCUACCAAGGCGACGAUGCUUACCUGGACUGAAAGGUUGAACAGCCACACUGGGACUGAGACACGACCCAUACUCCUAUGGGAGGCAGCAUCUAGGGAAUUUUCGGCAAUGGGCGAAAGCCUGACCGAGCAAUGCCGCGUGAACCAUGAGCGCCUUCGGGUCGUACAGUUCUGUUGUAAAGGAAGAAUCGAUCAUAGGAGGAAAUGCCUUUGAUUUGACGGUACUUUACACUAAAGCUCCUGCUAACUACGUGCCGUCACCCUCGGUAAUACGUAUGGAGCGAGCGUUAUCCGGAAUUAUUGGGCGUUAAGCGUGCAUAGGCUGCGUGUUAAGUCGAAUGUGAAAGCCCACAGCUUAACUGUGGAGGGUCAUUCGAAACUGGCAUGCUAUAGUACAGGCAAUGUUA